GAGGCCGCCUGGUGGAGGCCGUCUGCAGCCAGCUCUGUCGCCUGCAUCCCGCAGUGACGCGUGUCGGGGGGGGGGGUCAUGAGGAGCCGGUGGUCCCUCAUCCACAGCGUCUACGUGUCGAUACGGCAGACGGUGCUGGGAGCCCGAGGCUGAUGGCUCAGACCUCCAUCCAGCUGUCUGAGAUCAACCAGCGGACCAUCUCCCAGUGGUGAGAGCUGCAACAGACCUGGAGGCUUUUCACUCACUGGACAUGUGCUCAGAGGUCAAAGGAAGAGUUCACUUCAGGUAGUCUGCUGUCCUCAGACCAACAGAGUUUUCUUCUUUAACAGUUUGGACAUUAAGCUCAACAAGUGACGGUAUAAAGCAUAAGACCUGAUGUGGAUGUGAAUUCAGCAUGGACCAGUGUGAUGACAGAGAGGAGGCAGUCCCUCACUCUGAAACCACUCUGUGUGGGGAACAUGAGAGCCAGAGCAAAGUUCAGUGUAAACAACCUGAAAAAGAGCCUGAACCCAGCUGUGUCUCAUUUAAAAGUGACAAGUCAAUGUGGCUUCCUCACAAUUUUAAACAAAGUG